CGUAGCAAUACGAUGGGUGGCGAGUGGCGGACGGGUGAGGAAUGCAUCGGAAUCUGCCCGAUCGUGGGGGAUAACGCAUCGAAAGGUGCGCUAAUACCGCAUGAGAUCGAGAGAUGAAAGCGGGGGACCUUCGGGCCUCGCGCGAUCGGAUGAGCCGAUGCCGGAUUAGCUAGUUGGCGGGGUAAAGGCCCACCAAGGCGACGAUCCGUAGCUGGUCUGAGAGGAUGAUCAGCCACACUGGGACUGAGACACGGCCCAGACUCCUACGGGAGGCAGCAGUGGGGAAUAUUGGACAAUGGGCGCAAGCCUGAUCCAGCAAUGCCGCGUGUGUGAAGAAGGCCUUCGGGCUGUAAAGCACUUUUAUCGGGAGCGAAAAGCGGACGGUGAAUACCCGUCCGUGCUGACGGUACCCGAGGAAUAAGCACCGGCUAACUUCGUGCCAGCAGCCGCGGUAAUACGAAGGGUGCAAGCGUUAAUCGGAAUUACUGGGCGUAAAGCGUGCGUAGGCGGUUCGCUAAGUCUGCCGUGAAAGCCCCGGGCUCAACCUGGGAAUUGCGGUGGAUACUGGCGAGCUGGAGUGUGGUAGAGGAGGGUGGAAUUCCCGGUGUAGCGGUGAAAUGCGUAGAGAUC
rnacentral:rRNA from 1 species